rnacentral:rRNA from 1 species
AUGCCCGUAACAAUUGCUUCCAUUACCACUGUAGUUAGUCGUCGUCGUCCGCUUCGCCGCCGCGGCCACCGCCGGCUUGGCACUCGCCCGCCUGCACGGACGCCCCUUCCUACUGCCGCUACUUGGCGCUGGUCACCCCGCCACUACUGCUGCUGCUUUGCCGCCGCUCCGGCUCUGCUUCUGGGCCGCUGCCCACGCUCCUCUGCUACUCGCCACGACCCCGCGAGCGCCCCACCUUGUUCGGCCGCGUCGGCCUCCGCUGGUCGCGCGCCCCGCCUGCCCUGGCCGUGCCCGCCGGCCGCUGGCCGCGCUCGCCGCGAGACCGACGCCCAACUAUGUGUGCCCCGCCCAACGCCCCUGACCUCCUCCCGUGCGCUGAACUGCUGCUGCUCCCGCUACUUGCUAGCUGCUGUUGACUGCUACGCUGUUGCUGUUGAAGCUACUGCCGUUGCUGCUCAUGCCCCACUUCUCCUGUUGUCGCUAGCUGCUACUACAAAUAGUUGGUCCUUGCUACUGCUUCGUGUUGCGGCUUAUACUGCCAUUGUUGCUUGCGGCUAG